rnacentral:sRNA from 1 species
ACCACAUUGGAGGGAGCUUUGAAAAUGG